rnacentral:rRNA from 1 species
GUCUUCUCGUUUAUUUGGGAAGUCUGACCUGCCCGGUGAUAAUUAUUUUAACGGCCGCGGUAUUUUGACCGUGCAAAGGUAGCAUAAUCAUUAGUCUUUUAAUAGGAGGCUGGAAUGAAAGGUUUGACGUAAUAUUGACUGUCUCAUUUUAAUAUAUUAAAACUUAAUUUUUAAGUGAAAAAGCUUAAAUUUUAUUGGAAGACGAGAAGACCCUAUAGAGCUUUAUAAUCAUUUUAAUAAAUAUUUUUAGAUUAUUAUUUAAUAUUAUUUUAAGAAUUAUUUUGUUGGGGUGAUAAGAAAUAUAAAUUUAACUUUUCUAUUUAUAAACCAUUUAUUUAUGAUUAUUAGAUCCAUUAUUAGUGAUUAUUAGAGUAAGUUACCUUAGGGAUAACAGCGUAAUCUUCUUUCAGAGUUCAAAUUUACAAGAAGGCUUGCGACCUCGAUGUUGGAUUAAGAUAAUAAAUAGGUGUAGCAGCUUAUUUUAUAGGUCUGUUCGACCUUUAAAUUCUUACAUGAUCUGAGUUCAGACCGG